UACAGAGGAGCCAAGCGUUGUCCGGAUUGACUGGGCGUAAAGCGCACGCAGGCGGUUGCGCGCGUGGGGUGUGAAAGCUGGUGGCUUAACUGCCAGAUGCCAUCCCAUACGGCGCGACUCGAGCCCGUGAGAGGUCCACGGAAUUGCCGGUGUAGUGGUGAAAUGCGUAGAUAUCGGGAGGAACACCUGUGGCGAAAGCGGCGCACUGGACCACAACUGACGCUGAGGCGCGAAAGCUAGGGGAGCAAACAGG
rnacentral:rRNA from 1 species